UUCUCAGAAGAACUUUUUUUCAGUAGUGGGAAUAAUUGGCCCUCAGCUAAGUAGUGUUCUUACAUGCCCAGCCAAAUUUAAAAGCAAGACCCAAAGGAAUCAAACUGUUUCCAAGUAACUGAAGUGCCUCACAGAACAAACUGGAAAAUUAUAGGUAUACAGAAAUAUCUACCAGAAAAGCCAAUCACACUUACAAUCUGAAGGUGUCCGUUCCUACACUGGUCAGACCACUGUCCUUGGGGCAGCUGGGGUCUUUGGGACCCUCCACCGGGCUCGCCGGUCCGUCGGACUUUUGGCUGAGAUCCGUGUCAGACUCCUCCGAAUAGUCGUCUGUUGGCAUCGAGGGCUGAACCCCUGAGGUGCUGCAUGAACUUGAGAGCGCGCUCUCGCACGCCAGGCAGUGGUACGAGCCGCCACCGCCGCCGCCGCUGCCGCCACCACCACCGCCGCCGCCGCCCGUGGGGACGUGAAGCACCAUCUCUUGCAGGUUCACCACAGACUGGCCGAAGAAGCAGAGGGACUUCAGGUGGCUCUUCGCCGCCUCCUCGUCACCGAAGCCCGCCUGGCACUUGCGGCAGACCAACUUGUACUGCACCUUUGGAACAAUGAAGGGGUCAUAGAGGGAGUCCGCACUUUUGCUUUCUGCUUCUGGCUCUUCGGGGGGUUUCGG